GACAUUUCGGGAGCUUGAUGAGAAGUGGGCGUGGGCAGGGCAGGGCAAGGGCAGCUGGUGAGUCUGUACCCACGCCAUCAACAGCUCAACCAGGCCACGGGACAGCUCCAGGAUUGGGUCUUGUGCUGACACUGCAUGGAAGCUAGUCUGCUUACUUGAGACACAGAAACACUUUAAUGAUCACUCUCUUGGUGCCAGAAUAGAAGGAAGGGGACUCCUGGAAUGAAGGCAGGCAGCUGUCUGCAGGGACUGGUGAGUGGAGAUGUCUCCCAGGAGGGCAGGUAGCCAGUUGGUAGGGCCAGCAUGUUAAAAAUAUGCUUAAUUAACACGAAGCUUGAACGAUUAAUACAAACUUUCAUUUAUUUUUUUUUUUUUGAGACAGGGUCUCACUCUGUUGCCCAGGCUGGUGCAGUAGCGCAAUCUCAACUCACUGCAGCCUCUGCCUCCUGGACUCAAGCCACCCUUCCACCUCAGCCUCCCAAGUAGCUGGGACUACAACCAUGCAACACCAUGCCCGGUUAAUUUUUGUAUUUUUUGUAGAGACAGGUUUUUGCCAUGCUGCCCAGGCUGGUCUCAAGCAAUCCUCCCGCCUCAGCCUCCCAAAGUGCCAGGAAUAUAGGUGUGAGCCACCACGCUGGGCCAUAAAAACAAUUUUUAAUGUUUCCCUACUCAUUUAUAAAAAACCCAACUCUAACUAAAAGGAAGUUACUUUAAAUUAAAAAUAAUUUCAUGUUUACAUGCAUCUAUCUUCCCGCCAUCAAUUCAACAACUAUUUAUAGAAAUCAUAAAAGCAUGUCGCCCUGCAGAAACAGUGUAAAAGCUAUAAGUAAGAUAUGUAAUCAAUGACCUCCUGCUAAGGUGCAAUUUGGAAUUUUAUCUAUAUCAUGAUCUAUGAAGUUCUGACAUUAACAGACAUGAUUCUCAUUUUAUGGAAACCAGUGAGUGCUAGUACUCUUCCCUUCAUCUCCAACUCCAACGGUUUCCCUCCCCUGCCCUUUCUCCCCACAAGCUGAAUUUACUCAACUACAGAAAUGACAUCGAAUGAAACUCUAUAAUUCUUCAACUCAGAAUAUUCUCCCAUAGAAAAGGGUUGUUACAAGAGCCGGGAAAACCAUUUCUGGGUUUAUCCAACUAGGAUUCCAAAUUUCUAGAAAUGAGAUGGACAGGAUUAUAAUCACCAUUUAAGCUCCUAAAGUCAGUCCAGUAAUGGUUCUCCUGGUAGGAAAUAAACUCACAAUGUAUUUGGUGGGGGGGUCUGGCAUCAACAUAGGGCUGAGGGGAAGAAAAACUCCAGCACUCAUUGUGAAUCUCAGUAAUUAUAGAAUACACUGCCCGACUUUUUCCUCCUACACAACAGCAACGUAGGUUUUGUAGGGUUUUUACAGAUAAAACCAUGAAUCCACAUAUAUUUAGUUAAUCUUCACCUCAUGGCAACUCUGUAAGGUCGGUGUUUUUUCCCUUUAAAUAGGUGAGGAUAGGCUUGACUAGAUAGGUGUAACCAGACUUUCAUCAUUGGUUAUUGGCCAUAGUGUCCUAAAUUCUACAAUAAAUUUUCUUUUUUUUCUUUUUUUUUUU
rnacentral:lncRNA from 10 species